UGAAUAAAAAUAGUUUAGACAGUGUUCUUUUUCCUUCUUUUUUACUGCCUUGCAGUUCCUUCUCACAGGGUAAAAGGCUAAAGCUUAAGAGCCUAACUAGCAAGCAUAUGAAAGCUGCCAAACACCAUUUUUUCUUCCUCGGCGGGAAAGCGAUAAUUUUUGGGGCCAAAAAAAAAACAAAAAAAGGAAAGCCAAAGCUAGAGCGUUAGCGCCCCCUUCUCUCUCACCCGCUCCCUCCAAAAUUCCCCCAAAUCCCUAUUUUAAACCCUAAAACUCUUUUCUUUUCCUUUACCUCCCAAAACCCUCCCUUCAGAUCCUAACCCUCUCUUCCAAGCGAUGGCAUUUAUCGAAAAAGGAGAUGACGAUGACGUCGACACUCCGAUUCGCUACGUUUCCUUGGACCGCGUCUACUCCGCCGCUUCCCUUUGCGUCAGCGCCACUAACUCCUCCAACGUCAUGUCCAAAAAGGUCAAAGCUCGUAAACUCAUCGUCGACAACCACCACCACCAACGCCUUCUCAAACCCCAUAAUCCCCCGCUCUUGCAUGUCUACUCUCGCCGACCUAAGCGGCCUCGCCAAUGCCUCUCUUUCUACGACUCUUUGCUCCAAGGUGAGAGCGAAACGAUGGUCAAAUGUGAACUGGAUGAGAGCUUUAGGAAAAAGAGGAGGGUUGGGUGUAAUGAGUUGGCCAAAUUAGGGGUUGAUUCGAGUAUUUACUGUGAGUUGGAUCGCCCGCGUUUGAGGGAUUGUAGAAUUAAUAAUAGCGUUAAUAAUGUUAAUAGUAAUUCUAUUAAGAAAAGGAAGCAUAAUUCUACUCCAAAUUCGCAACGGGGUUUCACUGGUUCUGCUACUGCUAAGAAAUGGAUCAGGUUGAGUUUUGAUGGUGUUGAUCCAAAAGCAUUCGUUGGGUUGCAAUGCAAGGUUUUUUGGCCGUUGGAUGCUGAUUGGUAUUCGGGUCGAGUUGUUCGAUACAAUGCAGAGACUAAUAGGCAUCAUGUUGAAUAUGAGGAUGGAGACGAGGAAGAUUUGAUGCUUUCUAAUGAGAAACUAAAGUUUCAUGUUUCUCAUGAUGAGAUGGAGCGCUUGAACCUGAGUAUCAGUGUUAAUAGUACAAAUGAUGACGGUUAUGAUUAUGAUGAGAUGGUUGCGUUGGCUGCCAGUCUAGACGAUUGCCAAGAACUUGAACCUGGGGAUAUUAUAUGGGCAAAACUUACUGGUCAUGCUAUGUGGCCAGCAAUUGUGGUAGAUGAAUCACUUGUUGGUGAUCGUAAAGGUUUAAGCAAGAUUUCUUGUGGAAGAUCAGUUCCAGUACAAUUUUUUGGCACCCAUGAUUUUGCAAGAAUAAAAAUGAAACAAGUGGUUUCAUUUCUCAAAGGACUUCUUUCUUCAUUCCAUCGAAAAUGCAAGAAACCUCGUUUUACAAGGGGCUUGGAAGAAGCAAAACUCUAUCUGAGUGAACAGAAGCUUCCAAGAAGAAUGUUACAAUUGCAAAAUGGAAUUGACGUGGAUGAUGGUGAAGCUAGUACUGAGGAUGAAGGAAGUGUAGAUUCAAUGGCAGAUCACAUAAAAGAUCAGGGGAUUCAGAUACCUCCUGGUGGACCUGGAGAUUCUCCAUAUGUAAUAGGAGAUUUGCAAAUAAUUAGCCUUGGAAAAAUUGUCAAGGACUCGGAUUAUUUCCAAGAUGAUGGGAUCAUCUGGCCUGAAGGGUACACUGCCAUUAGGAAAUUUACUUCAAUGAGAGAUCCAAGUGUUUGUAGCUUGUAUAGGAUGGAAGCGUUGAGAGAUCCUCAAUCAAAGAAUCAUCCUUUAUUUAGGGUGUCAAAUGAGGGAGAGAAGUUUGAAGGACCUGACCCGUCAGCUUGUUGGAAUAAGAUAUAUAAAAGGAUAAGAAAGAGACAAAAUGGUUGUUCUUAUGAUUCAAAGGUUGGAACAGAAAGAGUCUUUGAAUCUGGCUCCGAAAUGUUUGGUUUUUCCACUCCUGAAGUUAUAAAAUUAAUACAGGGGUUGUCCAAAUCCAGACUGUCUUCAAAGUUCUCGGCAUUCAAGUUAGCCAAUGGAAGAUAUCGAGACCUGCCUGCUGGUUAUAGACCUGUUCGUGUUGACUGGAAAGACCUAGAUAAGUGUAGUGUCUGCCACAUGGAUGAGGAGUAUGAGAACAAUCUGUUCCUCCAAUGUGACAAAUGCAGAAUCAUGGUUCAUGCUAGAUGCUAUGGUGAACUUGAGCCUGUUGAUGGUAUUCUGUGGUUGUGCAACUUAUGCCGCCCUGGGGCACCCGAGUCUCCUCCACCUUGCUGUCUUUGCCCUGUUAUAGGGGGAGCGAUGAAGCCUACAACUGAUGGCUGUUGGGCUCAUCUGGCUUGUGCCAUAUGGAUACCUGAAACAUGUCUAUCUGAUGUCAAGAGAAUGGAACCCAUUGAUGGGCUAAAUAGAAUCAGCAAGGACCGUUGGAAGCUGUUAUGUAGCAUCUGUGGUGUAUCUUAUGGAGCUUGUAUUCAAUGUUCAAACAGUACGUGUCGGGUAGCAUAUCAUCCACUUUGUGCACGUGCUGCUGGUCUUUGUGUUGAGCUUGAGGAUGAGGACAGACUCUUUCUCCUCUCUGUAGAUGAAGAUGAUGAAGAUCAGUGUAUUCGUUUACUUUCCUUUUGCAAGAAGCAUAGGCAGCCAUCUAAUGAUCGAUUAGCAUCUGAUGAACGAGUUGGCAGAACAGCACUUCAAUAUUCUGACUACACUCCGCCUCUGAAUCCAUCUGGUUGUGCUCGUACUGAGCCUUACAGUCAUUCUGGUAGAAGAGGCCGGAAAGAACCUGAAGCCCUUGCUGCUGCAUCCUUAAAGCGCUUGUUUGUAGAGAAUCAACCCUACUUGGUUGGUGGCUGCUGCCAACAUGGAAUGUCAAACAGCACAUUACCUAACAAUAGAGUUAAUGGUGUCAAAUUCUGUUUUAGCCUUAACAAGCUUAAAGCCCCCCAGCUUGAUGCUCCUAACAACAUUCUUUCUGUGGCUGAGAAGUAUAAUUACAUGAGGCAGACCUUUCGAAAAAGACUGGCAUUUGGGAAAUCAGGAAUUCAUGGGUUUGGAAUCUUUGCAAAGCAUCCACAUAAGGCAGGAGACAUGGUGAUUGAAUAUACUGGUGAACUUGUUAGACCUUCUAUAGCUGAUAGGAGGGAACAUUUCAUAUACAAUUCAUUGGUGGGUGCUGGGACUUAUAUGUUUCGAAUUGAUAAUGAACGAGUGAUCGAUGCCACUAGGGCAGGAAGUAUAGCACAUCUGAUCAACCACUCAUGUGAACCGAAUUGCUAUUCAAGAGUUAUUAGUGUUCAUGGUGAUGAGCAUAUUAUUAUAUUUGCAAAGAGAGAUAUUAAACGAUGGGAAGAGCUGACAUAUGAUUAUAGGUUCUUCUCCAUUGAUGAGCGUUUGGCAUGCUACUGUGGCUUUCCAAGAUGCCGGGGUGUCGUUAAUGAUACUGAAGCUGAGGAACAAGUGUCAAAGUUAUUUGUACACCGCAGUGAAUUAAUAGAAUGGACAGGAGAAUGAGAGAGGAAGAGUGCAAUGUGGCCGUUAUAAUCUAGUGAACCAGUCAUAGCAAAGAUUCUGGUUUGGUUUGCUAGUGAACAAGUCAUGAUUGUCUAGCAUUUAUGUUUAUUGCUUGGCCAUCAUAUACUAGGUUUCUAUGCCAAUGAAAUCCUUCAAACUCGUCUUGAGAUGCCAUGAACAAAGGUGGACCUCUGGUUCUAGCUCUGGUUCUCAUCUCACAGUUGUAUCUUUAUUUUUCCUUACCUUCGAAAGCCAAGUGGUUCAGCUUAUUAUUUUUGUUCUUCAAGCUGGUUCUUCUUGGAUCGGAUUUACUAAUGCUGAAAGAUGUUGUCUGAAUUCUUUGAACAUCCCGGUUGAAAACAGGAAGAUACUUCGGCUGAGCACGAAACUUUAACUCAUUUUUCCUCAAUUUGUAACAUGCUAUUUCCAGCUACACAUAUGUACGUAAUUACAUUAACUAUUUGUAAAAAAAAAAAAGCAACAUUUUCGAUAUUACUAAGGAAAUGUGAGUUUCAAUUGUAUUCUUGCCACAUUCAAAUGGUGGAAACCUUUUGUUAAGAUUGAGAGGACCUUCAAAUGAUUCUAAUAGUGUGUUCCGACUAGAUAAAAUGUUUAUGUUUAAUUCAAAAUUUAAUUGAU